UAAUCUACAUUAGUGCUUUCCUGGUGUAUAUGACAAAUAAACACAUCUUGGGCUUCCAGCUGGGUGCAGGUAUCAACUUUAACCAAUGUUUCAAUGACAAACUCUGCCAUUUUCAUUAGGGAUGAUGCCUGGGUAAUCAAGGUCAGUGGUAUAUAUACCCUUCUCCUCCAUUCCUCCUGAUUGAUUAAUGCUCAUCCAAUCAGGUUUACAGUCAAAUUCCAGUUUUCACUUAAGAGCGAGACCUUCAUCUUUGUUAAAAUUGUUUUCCUCUAGUUUUAUUUCAAUGCUUUCUUCAUCAGGUGGUCCUAAAUGCCAUUGGCGUGGCACAGCAGCGUUGUGCCUUCGAAGUCAAUCCUAUUGCCAUUGCAAAUGCAAUGUUCUGCUACCGACGAUUUCUCUGGGCAACUCAUAUGGAUACACCUCUCAUGCUCCUUGAUGCAGGUUUCCUCUGUGUGUCCUGUCUGGCCGAUGUUCGCUGCUCCACCUUCGCAAGGAAUCCUGUAAAUGCCAGCCGUCCUAUGUCCCAGAGAGAUCAGUAAUGAGCCAGGAGGCGGAUGGUCCCUUUCACUGCACACCAGGUCUGGAGGCAAAAUACAAACGUCCCGAAUGAAGCUUCUCUGCUGAUCCAGGGAUGGAUGAUAGCAGAACCUCAUCCAUUCAUUUGAAUGGAAGCAUUGACCUAACUCAAAAAGGUUGGCAUCUAAGAA